UCAAGCCGUGAACACAACAUGGCCACAUCACCCUUCAGGUUGAUAAGGCAAACAUGUUAGCAAACUGUAGCCUAUUUGCACAUCCAGCUGACACGGAGCAACACAAGCAUUCAUUUGGAGUCGCGCUUCUUGCCACAAGUCAAAUAUUCACUCUCCUUUUAGCUCUGUUUUUAGUCUCCACCAACUUCUGAAGAAAAUAAAUCUGACUGAGCUGCUAAAUGCUAUUCUGCUAUGUUGACAAGCUAGUGGAUAACUGUGUCUGUCUGCUGUUUCCUGCAGGCCAGCUUGUCUUCAGGUGAAGAGGACAUGAUGUGCUAUGAAGACUGUUAGCUGUGACUGAACCUCAGAAGACCGAACACAGAGGAUGCUUCAGGAGUUGAUGCGGAGACCUACAAUACCGGGAAACUGAACGCUGCUGACCACGUUCAUCUGACACAAGGAAGUGUUUCGGAAAACACAGUGCGCAGAUAAAACAUACACCAUCAUCAUACUUCCUUCUGUUUAACCAAACUAAAAUCUUUUCCAUCACUAUUCUCCUUGACAAGCCUCUGCUUAGUGCUUUGUCUCACUAGAUAAACUACAGAAGAAUUUGCUGGUUAGAUUACUAAUUUAACCUGGAAUAUGUAAAGCAGUUAAGUGGUAGAAGAAGCAUUGCUUUAUUCAAGAAAAAGUGGCAAGAAAUUCAAUCCCACAGUCAAAAUGUUACUGAAGUAAAUGUACAUAUGUAUCAGCAAAAUCUACUCAAGUAUCACAAGUAAAAGUCCUCUUUAUCCAGAAUAGCUCAUUUAAUAGUGUUAUUAGGCUGACAAAUACAUGUUUUGGAGCCAAAAAGUACACUAUUUUUUCCUUUAAAUGUAGUGCAGUUGACAGGCAUUGUACUUAAAUUAAUUUAGUUACUUUCCAUAACUGAUGCAAUGGAUUACACUAUUUACUAUAAUCCUCAUGAAUAUACAUAGAAUAGAAAUCACCUAAUUGCAUUAAAUUCUUAUAUUUGAACAGCACCAUAACAGCCUUUCAAAUUAUGUUUUUGGUGUUAAAUACAUAACUAAAAUACAUACAUAUAAGGGUAGCUGCAACCUUUACACUUGUGAAAUCGUGCAUGAAAAUCCAGCCUUUUGGCAACUUAAUUAGUCAGAUUAAAUGUAAUCUGUUACCUCGCUACUCACGCCUCGUCUCAUGAGGCCUCACGGAGGAUUUGUGAGGAAUUUGUGAGGUCCUUUCUUCGGUGUGUAGGCCCACCACCAUCUCCUCCACCUCCACCCACCCUCAGUGCAACGCGGUUGCAUUAUUAAAGUUGUAUAAGAUCAUUAGCAUACAAAGCAGGAAACCUACCGCGCUGGCGUCAUACAUAUUUAUCUGGACGUGCCUGACUUGUACGUGCAUACACUCAUACUGUAACCCCUUUACACACAGGCGUGACUGUCUUUCUGCUGCAGGAGUUCUGUGAACAGACACUAUGAAGUGGAUGUUACUACUGUAGAAGCACGACCAGUUUUAAAGGAUAGAUAUUUAUUUGAGCAGCAUCUGAAGAAAGACGAGUUAGUAUUUGCUAUAAACUAUAUAUUAAAGCUAGUGCAGCUGCCUGUAAGACUGAGAAAAUGUGUGUAUUUAGAAACGAGCAGAUGGAGUUUGGUUAGGUUCAUCAGAGCAGUUUGCUUCGAGCAUAUUAAAUAUAGUUUACACACAGAGGAAUAUACAUAUUCAUCUGCUGCACUCAGAAGCACAUAAUCAAACAGAGAGAAAGACAAACAGAGGGCAUGUUCUUGUCAAUACUUGCAUCACCCAUGGGUUAGCUCUGACUAUCGAAUGACUGUGAAAUCAUCUCCUUUUCUCUCUCCUUCCCUUGUUCCCUUCCUCUUCAAAUCCACCUUUUCUCCACAACCAUGCUAUCCCUGUUCGCUUUCCUUUUUGGAGAUCAUUUUCUACACUUUCUACCUUCCUGAUGACAGCACAAUCCCUCCUUUUUUUGACAAUGCGGAUUCCUCCGUUAAUAUCCCUUUCUCCUUCCUUCUUUUUCCUCCCUCCUGUGAGAUUGCUGUUGUGUCUUAUGGCUUUUUAUUCCUACGUGAUGGUAGAUGGGUUCAUGUAGGAGUAGAAGCCACUAAACACGCGGUGAGUGCUCAACGCGCUGGCCAACACACACAGCGAGCUUCCCGUGGAUAUGACAGCUGCCAUGUUCACAUCAAUGGUCCUGCCCAUUACCAAGAAUAUGCACACAGUUAAAAAAUAGUCCAGGGUAUUCACUGCAGGGAGUGGCUACUGUUUCAGAUUAUCUUUUCAGACCAGAUUUGUAAUGUGAAAAUUUUUUUUAAUGACUUAAUUAAAUGGUUAUUAUACUUAAUUGAACAGUUGGUUUUAAGACAAUAGAGCAGAAUGUUGAUGUAGGCUACGUGUGGUCUAACUAAUCAAUCUGAGCAAAUCUGAAGUUGUGAACAGACCUACUUUCCACCUGCAUGCUGGCUGCACGUGCCCUGAAUUUCAAACUCAAUCCUUUGCCCUGAGGUCGCUGUGCAAAACUGGAGCUGGAUAGCUCUCAAAAUAGAGAUCAGGAGGAGUGGAUGCCACAAUUUAGAUGGAACAACUUGCAGAGGUAGGUCAUCAAUGUUGUUUAAUAAUGUCCAGAAUCUGAAGGGACUACCUAUUCUCCCAUAAAGUGAAGGUGAGAACAUACAGAAAGCUGUUACAGGAUCGUUUGACACUUUCACCAACCUACAGAAGUGUGAAAAUAAACCCUCUCUUACAAAUAAAGCACAUUUACUACACAUGAAACACAUUUCACAUAAAUCAUUUCAUACAAACAAAGUCACAGUUUUGGACAUAUUUGGAAUUAUUGCACAUCAAAAAUAUGAAUUCCACAUGCUGUUGCUGUCCUGUGUCCAGUUUUCAGCUUUGUAAUCACAUUUGUGUUCAAUUCAGUUCAAUAUUUACUCAACUUUUAGCUCUGUUUUGGUCUCCACCAACUCCUGAGAGAAAUAUAUGUCCCUUUAGCUGCUAAAUGCGGCACUUUGUUCACCAGCUAGUCACUAACUGCGUCCGUCUGCAGUUUGGUGCUGCACAGGUAGUGUACAGUGGGUUUUUAGCGCUUAUUGGCUGACAAACAUUUGGAGAUUUGUGGUUUUUCAGUGACUAUAUGCUUUUUUGUAAAUUCCCAUUUACACUUGUUUUUGGUCAUUCAUUUCACAUAUGCGUGUAUGAGCUUAUAUGCUCACAUAAGGACUCUCUUCAGACCAGCACUGUUCCUUUAAAGCUUUUAGCACCAGACUGAGAAGUGUAACUGAGCUCAGUGUGAACCCCUUAAAUUCCUGUCUACUCAUAAAUUAGAUCCAGGCAAGCUUAAAUGGCUAAUAAUGGUAUUUAUCAGCAGUAACUUUAUGCCUGAACUGAACUCAGUGUCAACCAAUUAAGCACGAUAUUCAAAUGAUCCUGCUCCCGUUGGGUCCAGUUGGGUGCUGUGGGGUUUGACUUUAAAUGUCAACCUCCUGUUUGUUUUUUCUGUAAAAAAAGCUCCUCACUUUCUCCUCCUGAGCAGAAUCUGAAUAAAGCCUAAAUGGACUGUUGUCAGAAACCAGAAGCUGAUUUUGUAAUCCUGGGAUAUUACAAGAAUGUGACACAUGCUUGCAAUUGUGUGACAUUACUUCUGCGUUGUUAUGAGGUGGAUAAUUAUUCAAGAUGAAAUUGCAAUAGAUAUGGUCUGCUGAGGUUUAAUGAUUUAUUCAAGGCUGUAAGUUGUUAUGAUCUAAUAUUCAGCGCGGUGGGAUGGGAAGUUUCUUUUGCUUGCAUUAUCAGUUCAAUUUAUUUUUCAAGUUCUCACUCCUACAUAGAGUUCUUUAUAGAGACAUGAGGAGGUCUGAGAGAAUAGCAGAGCAGGAAAGACACAUAAGAGGAGGCUGAGAGAGGAUUCGAUCCUGGACCAGCGGGGAUCCAUGGGAAUCUAAAGGUGGGUAUCAACCAUUGUGGCAUCUGUGGGAAAGAGCCUGCAUUAUUUAAAACAGCUCUGGCAUAUGAAGGGGAAGUUGUGUUUGAAUAGAUUGUUGCCAUCCUCUGUUUUUUCGCCCGAGGGUGUGUACGCCUUAUCCCAGCGUUCCCCCGGUUUUGAUCUGACUGCUAUAAACCUCAUAUUUCUAAAAUGUCAAAAUGUUCGGCGAAAUAAAACAGCCUUAUUUUCAUUUUGACAGCCAUGCAUUUUUUUUAAAUCAUGCAAUGGAGUCCUCAGGUUAUGAAACUUGAUGGAGUUAUACAAGGUCACAUAAUCCUCAAGUUCAGGUAAAAACAUGAAAUUCAUCAGAAUUGGAGUAAUGGGGGUUUUUCAUCUGACAGCUGCAAUAAUGUAGUGUGUUUGUGUACAGUAGGCUUAAUGUAUGAGCGUUGUACUAUUGUAUCCACCGCCCUCAGGCUACACUUUCUUUAUGUAAUAAAUAAUGCUCUUUUGUGUUCUCUGCUUCAUUUGUUCCCUGUUGUAACGUCAGUGCUGCUCAAUAAAUUAUGAAUCACGCCUGUUCAACCUGCUGCA